UCCUUUGACGAUCACAUCAUAUACAUUCAUUUUACUGUCUUUUCCAUAUCAUGAUCACGUAGUGCCUCCUAUAAAAGAAAGGGAAGUUUGGCCAAUUUUGAGUUUGGGUCACCUGAAAUGUCUUUCAGCAGUAAAAUAGAAAUAACGUUUAGAAGAAAAUGUUUGGACCUAUAUUCGAAUAUCAACUUCAACUAUUGAGAAAGAAUAAAAAUUUUAAGAAAGGAUCAAGAUUUGAAUAUUAUCAAUAAAACCGAAUAAAGGGAACGCCUGUAUAUGUGUUGGAAUGGAUGAUUGGAAGCGAGAAGGAAUGUAUAUUCCGCGAAGCGACCUACUCCGCAGUAGAAAUGAAGUUUGUGGCCUAUAUUGAGAGACAUCCCUUGAAUUCCUCGCAUUCUCUGAGCCAGGGAUCGGUUUAAUGAAAGAUGCCGUCAAAAUGAUCUGAGAUCGAAUGGGUAGCGAACUAGCGACAAUGAAUGAAAAUCCAUACUAAGAUAUAUCACCUGAUUGACAACAAUUAUUGAAUUCUGAAUGAGCAAUUAUUAAAAUUAAAAUUUGGAAAAUACUUCCGAUAAUUGCUUGAUGAUUUUUUGAAGUCAAACAACGAAAAAAUUAUGGUUUCAAAACACAUCAUAAAUAUAAUCCGUUUUUUGUAAAUGGCCUGAAGUUGAUAUCUAAAAAGUGAGUACCUACGUAAAUAAGAACUCAAACGAGGUGAGCAUAAUUACAGCCCUCGAUUUAAUAACUUUGACCUCAUAAAAUUCAAAGCCUUUUAUUGAUUGGAAGAUGAUUUCAAAUUUCAAUGAGAUUUUAUGGAUUGAGAAUUAGUUGGAUAUAAGAACCUAUAUAGAAUGGUCCAUUUUCCUUUACUAGAUAAAAGUAUGGCCCACUUUCAAUGUUCAAAAAUGUUAUUAUGAAAUAAUUUCAUUUUAAGGAUAAUAUUAUACAUAUUAUUUAUUGUUAUAUAUUCAACCACGCAAAGACAAUUCUUCAAAUAAAGAAAUCCAUUUCUACGAAUUAAUGCCUCAUAUAAAGAAUAAGUACCCAAAAUAACCUCAUUUCUCAUAUUACGUAAUAAGAGAUAUUAUAAACAGAGUGUGUUUGUAUUAAGAUACCGGGUGAUUUUUUUAAGUUUAAUCAGUCAAAGAUGACGAAGAAAAACAUCUUACGGAAAAAUAUUUCGAAUAAAAGGUUGAUGGUUUUGAGGGAGAACUUCACUUAUUCCAGAACCUCUUCCUUUUAAUUUCCUCUUGUGGGGGGCAGUGGCGGAUCCAGGAUUUCUUCGUGGAGGGGUACUGAAUUCACAUAAAAGUUAUACAUAAAGAAAUUUUUUCAUUUAUCAAUCGCUCAAGGGAGGGCGCGCCCUACGCAUAGCCACCCCCUCCAUUGUGACCGCCCACAGGGGGGUUCAACUUUGGAAUUUCAAAUGGGAACUCCUGUAUUUUAUUAUAUUCUACGAAAAAAAUACAAGAGUACUGCAUCGACUUCUACAUGGUAAUUUUGUCCUUAAAUUGCUUCACUUCUUUUAUCAGAUGUUUCCAGUAUCUGACAUGAUAUGUGAACACCUUCUUCUAAUAUCAUUUUGUCGUCUUUAUAAAUGAAGAUUUAUACUCAGUCCUCCCUUGUAGAAGAGGUGUUCAGUAUAACACAGAUAAGGACUUUCCUGAAGGCUUCCCAACUUACACUUCAUUGAAGGUUCUUUCAAAUUAGUAACAAAAUUUUCCAGUGAUUGGCCAUUUAGUUGACGACCAUGAAAAUACAUAUGAAUAGGAAACAUAAAUACAUAAAUGAAAUUUUUCUGUCAAUUUCGAAAGUUGGUUAUUCUCCUCUUCCGUUGAUGUGGACG